rnacentral:rRNA from 1 species
AUGCGUAUGUUGAGAUGGAUGUGUGGCCACACGAGGAAGGAUCGAGUCCGGAAUGAUGAUAUACGAGAUAGAGUUGGGGUAGCACCAAUUGAGGAGAAGCUUGUCCAACAUCGUUUGAGAUGGUUUGGGCAUAUUCAGCGCAGGCCUCCAGAAGCUCCAGUGCAUAGCGGACGGCUAAAGCGUGCGGAGAAUGUCAAGAGAGGGCGGGGUCGACCGAUUUUGACAUGGGAGGAGUCCGUUAAGAGAGACCUGAAGGAUUGGAGUAUCGACAAAGAGCUAGCUAUGGACAGAGGUGCGUGGAAGCUUGCUAUCCAUGUGCCAGAGCCAUGA